rnacentral:lncRNA from 1 species
UCUAGCAUGUACCGCACAUCCGAGUGGUACAUAAUUCUGAAUUUAUUUUUCUGGUUCCAAAAGCUCCGGGAUAUUUCAUGCCCAUUUCAAUUCUUUCCUCCGGUUUUUUCCUGAUUGACCACCUUUUAUUUUUUUUGUCCUAAAGAAAUCUGAAUUUCAAUAUAUAAACUCCUAAAUUUUGCCAAAUGCGUUUUGUUUUCCAAUAGGACUUCCAUGUGUGCAAAAUCACCACGAUGAUUUGUCAUCCAAAUCCAUCUUGAACUUUUUUUAUUGAACAUGCACGCGAAUGUUAAUAAAAUUAAAUAUUUAUUUUAUCACGGGAGA